UAAGAUUUGAUUAUUAUAUAAAAUUUCUUAUCCUAAGAUAAUUUCACAUGCAACCUUCAGAGUCUCUUCUGCCGAAUACUUUCAAGGUUUUUCUCAAUAUUGACUACUUCUCUCGCAACAUCUGAUGAAAUAAGAAUUCCCUGUGCUAUUUAAUAUUUGGAGUGAACAAGUAGAAAGACAAAAAAAUAGAUGCAAUAAUAUGCUAUGAGUAGCUCUCAUUUCACCUAAGAACUAACAAGAUCACAAUGGACUAGGUAGAUUUCUACUAUACAUAAUACCAUCCCAGUGUCUGCAAAAAUAUUUCUGGCUAUUUUAGAUAGGAAGUUAUCCUCAUAAAUGCUUUCUUGGAACCUCAAUCUUCCAACAACAACAACAACCAGCAUAAUCUCACAUAGUGAGGUAUGGGGAGGGUAUUAUGUACACAGACCUUACCUUUACCCUGGGUAGAGAGGCUGUUUCCAAAUAGACCCCCUGCAUCCUUCCCUCCAAAAACUUCUCACCUUGCUCUUGGGAAGACUCGAACUCACAACCUCUCAGUUGAAAUUGAGGGGUUGCUUAACCCCUCAAUCUUCCAACAAAAAUAAAAAAUUCGUCUCAAAUCAAUUAUCCUGAUUUGCUAAAUUAUCUUGAAUAACACAGUCAAACAUGCUUUAUAAGAAAAACACAUUCAAGCAUUCAUAAGAACAAGUAUCGACUUUCUUAAGCAGAUUGAACCUUUAAUAGAUUUGGCAGAGCUUGCUAAAGAAAGUAUUUGAAAUAAAUGGAACCAGUUGGUUUACAAAGACAACGAGGAGAUAUGCCGAUAAGAUUGAAGGCAAAUGACAUCGUCAGACUGCGCCUGAAACCUCGUCAUGAACUCGAAAGGAACUCUCGAAAGAAAGUGGUUUUGGGUUGAAUUUUGGAUAUGUACUGGGGCUGUGACGGCAGGGGUGAGUCUUCUGCCGAAGAAGGUGAGAAGUGACUAGCGUUUUUUUAGAUGGAUCUGGAGUUUGGGUGUGGAACAGGGGCUGUUUCUUAGAGCUGAAACUUUAGCUUUUCAUGUUUGAAAACGGCUGGAGCUGGGGUGGCUUUGUGACUGACUUUUCAUGGCCCUUUUUGAUAGUGCGUUCAUGGAUUUAGGUGGCCUUUUAGAGUAAUUUUCAAAACAAUGUUACUAUCCUUUUUGUGCUGAUUUUCACACUGGAUUUAAGGUUAUCUAAUAGGGUGUUAGGAAGUUGAUAUCCUGAGGAAAAUGCAUCAGUUUUAAUGGUAUUUUUGGGUGAAGUUUCAGCUAAUUUCCAUGGAGAAAAGCUGCCGGUUUUUCUUAGAAAGGAAGAAGAAGACUAGCAGAGAAGUUUUUCUUCGCCAAGAAGAAAAAGAAAGUCACUCUAUGUCCUAAUCCAGCUCCGUUUCGUCCUCUCUAUCUUUUCUUGCGCGUGUCCUUUUUAGCCCAGAUCAAUUUUUAUGCAAAGAAAUCCCCUCUCCUUUCCAGAUGCUCCUCCCUUUUCUGUAUUUUUGUAUUUUGUAUAUAGGAAAUAUUUGUACAGUAUUUGUACAGAGGGUGCAGAGUGAGCUGGCUUUGGCUGGGGGAUAAGGACGGGCAAAAAUCCGUUGAGGAAUUAUUCGUGAGGGAAUAAAAUAUGAAUGUGCACUUGUGAGAUAAUAUUGUUGUCCAUGUGCAGGUGCAAUUUGUUAUUAAAAGAAGAAUCUUUGCAACUUGGCCAUUUCUAAUUGGCUCUUUUCUUUUUGUUUCAUUUUCAAAUUUUUUUAAGACAACUAAAGAAAAAUACAAGGAUGAAAUAUUAGCUAAAGUAUCUCUUAAAAGAGAACAUACUUUUUUGUGAGUUUUUCUUUUCUUUUGCAAAUGUACAAAAAUUAAAAUUCUAAAAAUGUAAAUCUUUUAUUGAUUCCGAAUAAUAAAAACCUAUAAAAGGUUAAACAAAACUAAAAUAUUAAGAUUAAAUUUAAAAACUAUUUAAACAUUAAAAGGUGAGUGAAAGUCCAAAUAUGAUAAAAAAAUUAGGUGCUCAUAGCUAUCCCUCUUUGCUUGAAAAUAUGAAGAGUUUUCAGGCAAAGAUAAAAAGAGUCGUGUGACUAAUUUUUGGCCAUAUCGUUAUUCAAAAGAGGAAAAAAAGAAAAUAAAAGGUGCAAUAAAAGGCGAAUUACAUAUUCAUAUCCACAAUAAUAAUUAGUGAGACUCCCUUUCUUUUGAUAUCCCCAAUCUUAUUGAGUUGUGAAAGUCAAAUCAUUUCACGGGACCUGGUAAAAUGAAAAAUUACGAAGAGGACUUCACAUGGAUUUAGGAAGGGCCUGUUGUAUUUGUGUACAAGCUAAAGUUUUUUGAAAAAUGAAUACCUUUGGUCACUUUCAUUGUCAAAUAGGCUUUUCCUUCAUAUACCUUACUUACCUCGACCUAGCGAAACACAACACGAAAAAGGCAGUCCUCUUUUUCUGUAUUCAACCAAGAAAAACUCCGCCACCUGGAUUCGAACCCUAAUACUAUUAUUAAAUAAUAAUAAUAA
rnacentral:lncRNA from 1 species